rnacentral:rRNA from 1 species
GUAUCAGUUGUCGCGCCAGCGGCAUGGCUGAGUAGCUAAAUUGGGACGGGAUAAACGCUGAAAGCAUCUAAGCGUGAAGCCCACCUUAAGACGAGAUUUCCCAUGGAGUAAAUCCAGUAAGAUCCCUUGAAGACAACAAGGUAGAUAGGUGAGGGGUGGAAGUGCAGCAAUGCAUGCAGCUGACUCAUACUAAUCGAUCGAGGGCUUGAUCUAA